UGGGGAAUAUUGGACAAUGGGCGCAAGCCUGAUCCAGCAAUGCCGCGUGGAUGAAGAAGGUUUUCGGAUUGUAAAGUCCUUUCGGCGGGGACGAUGAUGACGGUACCCGCAGAAGAAGCCCCGGCUAACUUCGUGCCAGCAGCCGCGGUAAUACGAAGGGGGCUAGCGUUACUCGGAAUGACUGGGCGUAAAGGGCGCGUAGGCGGUUUGUACAGUCAGGCGUGAAAUUCCUGGGCUUAACCUGGGGGCUGCGUUUGAUACGUGCAGACUAGAGUGGGGAAGAGGGUCGUGGAAUUCCCAGUGUAGAGGUGAAAUUCGUAGAUAUUGGGAAGAACACCGGUGGCGAAGGCGGCGACCUGGUCCUUGACUGACGCUGAGGCGCGAAAGCGUGGGGAGCAAACAG
rnacentral:rRNA from 1 species